AUGGCGUGCCGGGCUCACAGGUCAAAGGCAAGGAGGUCCAGGGAGCCGGUGUUUGUGAUGAUGCCGCUGGACACCGUCAACAAGUGCGGGAGCGGGCUGAACCGGAGGAAGGCCAUGGUCGCCAGCCUCACGGUGCUCAAGAGCGUGGGCAUGGAGGGCAUCAUGGUGGACGUGUGGUGGGGCACCGUGGAGAGUGAGGACCCCGACAAGUACAACUUCGCCGGGGUACAUGGAGUCAUGCAAAUGGCGCGCAAGACUGGGCUCAAGGUGCAGGCCGUCAUGUCCUUCCACCAGUGCGGCGGCAACGUUGGCGACUCCGUCAACAUCCCGCUGCCCAGGUGGGUAACGAAGGAGAUGGACAAGGACCAGGACCUCGCCUACACCGACCAAUGGGGACGCCGUAACUACGAGUACGUCUCGCUCGGCUGCGACGCCAUGCCCGUCCUCAAGGGCCGCACCCCCGUCCAAUGCUACAGCGACUUCAUGCGCGCCUUCCGUGACCAUUUUGCUGACUUCCUCUGCAACACUAUCGCCGUACGUCGCACAUCCCUAGGGCCCGCCGGCGAGCUGCGUUUUCCUUCUUACCCGGAGAGCAACGGUACCGGGAGGUUCCCCGGCAUCGGCGCUUCGAAUGCUACGACAGGGUACUUACUUAGCAGCCUGAUGGCAGCAGCCGAGGCGGCGGGCAAGCCGGAGUGCGGUUUCACCGGGCCAACGGACGCCGGUGACUACCUCAGCUGGCCGGAGGACACGCUCUUCUUCCGUCAGGAUGGCGGCGGCUGGGACAGCCAGUACGGUCACUUCUUCAUGUCCUGGUACCCGCAGAUGCUCCAGGACCACGGCGACCGCGUGCUGUCGGGCGCGACGUCCGUGUUCGCCAGCACGCCGGGCGUACACCUCUCCGCCAAGGUGGCCGGCAUCCACUGGCACUACGGCACCAGAUCCCAAGCGCCGGAGUUCACCGCGGGGUACUACAACACCAGGCACCACGACGGGUACCAGCCCAUCGCGCGCAUGCUGGCCCGCCACGGCGCGGUGCUCAACUUCACCUGCGUGGAGAUGCGCGACCACGAGCAGCCCCAGGACGCGCAGUGCAUGCCCGAGGGCCUCGUGCGACAGGUCGCCGCGGCCUCCCGCGGCGCCGGCAUCGGCCUGGCCGGCGAGAACGCGCUGCCCCGGUACGACGACACGGCGCACGACCAGGUGGUGGGCACCGCCGUGGAGCGCGCCGAGGAGGACCGGAUGGUGGCCUUCACGUACCUCCGCAUGGGCCCCGACCUGUUCCAGCCCGACAACUGGCGGAUGUCCAAGUCCGGGUCGUGCAGGGAGGCCGCCGAGCGGGCGGCGCACGGCGUCGCCCACGCCACGGGCUCGCUCGUGCACGAGGCCGCCGCCGCGCUACGGUGCUGA
rnacentral:rRNA from 1 species